CAGUCAGAAAUCCGGAGCAAUAGUAGCAGCAAGGCAUCUCUUGCUGAGGGUGUAGAGGCAUCUGUUAUAUAUGUUCGUUUCAAGGCAGCUGCAAGUGAGGUUCAUGCGGCCAGAAACUGCACAAGGCAUAUUUGUUAACUUCAAAGACUUGUACUAUUACAAUGGGAACAAGCUUCCUUUUGCUGCUGCUCAAAUUGGCCAGGCUUUCAGAAAUGAGAUAUAUGAACUGGGUUGGAACUGGGACAAUUUAGAACUUCUAGCACAGGGCAGAAACUUCAUGUUAUGAUAAAUGGCAGUGUAAGUAACAUCUCAUUCAAUGGAAGUCUUAAAGGCAGUGCUAAUAUAACAAUAAAACUUUUUCUAUAAGCCCUGCUAAUUUAAAAUUGUAUUUGUCCUCUGUUUAUGCUAGUCUACUUAGUUU